UAGGGAUGGGACAGGAGCCAACGCCUAGAUCUUUGUGCUCCUCUUUAGGGAUUUCUAAAAAUGAUGUGGGAAUUUAUCCUAAUCAACGUACGCAAACUUCUUCUAAAAGUACAAGAUCAAAUUUUACUAUGUCUUCUGAUCAAGAAAUGCGAACAAUGGAUAAAAACUCCUUGGUUCUUGAGAAAGAGCAUAUGCAAACCAAUACUUCAUUGCCUCCAUCUACUGAUCAAGUUAUGCAACACUCCCAAACAGUUGAAACAGCUGUAGGUUCUUCAUCUAAUCCUGCAAAGGUAAAAAGAGUUCGAGGGAGGAACAAGUGUAAAGAAGUUGCAUCACUUGAAGUCGGACAAAAGCUGAAAGUAAACUUUUACAAUAAUCGAACGGUUGGAACAAAUAGCAAACUGUUUUCGAGGCACUUGGGAAGAAUCGUUCGUGACCGUAAUAUGUGUCCUUUGAGAGUAUCAUCGUGAAAUGAUAUUGCGGAAGAAAAGUUGAAUCACAUGUGAGAAGCUAUUGGGGUAACAACUGUAGCCAAGAGUAUGACUGUGCAAUUUGAGUCAUUUUAAGUCUAAGCAGCUAGAUAACAUUUUUGACAUGGCUGAUAAAUCUGGAAUUUAUCUACAUGACUGAGGAAAUGAUAUUUAUACAGUAAAGAUGCAUAUUAUUAGUUGAAUACUUGUGUUCCUGUUUGUGCCUCUAUGUAGGAAUCAAAUACCAUAAUGCUUACAGUUAUUGGCUAUUGAUAAACCAGCAACUAUAGGUUAACGUCUAAGCAAUUCUGAAAGCAGUAGACUGGAAAGUGAAUCUCACACUAUCAUAGAACAAUUUCUGGUUUGCUGCCUAUUUUUUAAAUGUGCACUUGGUCAGUUCUUGUCUUUGAGGGCAUAUAAGAUGCCUUGGGCAUGAGGAUACAAAUAUGGCAUUUGCUGUUUAAAUAUUCUUCAAUUCAAAAUUCAUUGCUUCUUAGGGUAACUUUUGUUGGCACUUGAUAUUUAACUUUUAAGUUGUAACUCUGCUAUGUGACAAUUAUUGUCCAAGUAGAACAUUUGCAGACGUUCAUAUUUUGUAGAUCUAAUAAAGAACUAACUUUUAAUAUGAACAUUACCUUGACAAGAGUUGAAGUUUUGGCAGAAUGAUAAUUAUAAAUUGAUGCAAAAGUAUAUGUUUCUCUGGUUUAGUUGGUCCAAACUUAGCCUAAGUUAAAAUACUAAUACAUAACUGAUUUAACCUUCUACAACUCAAGGUAGGUAACUAUAAGACAAGUAUGGUGGUAUAGUUGGGAUCCGUUCCCUUAAAUCAAAGGUGUCGGACUCGAGCUUUAGUAAUUGAGAACAGUAUAUCCGUGCAUAAGUACAACACGGAUCAGUGUCAGUUGAUCAAGAAAUUUGGUUAAACAAAAAAAUAUGUUAAUCUCUAUAAGGAAAGUUCUAUAGUGAUGUAUGAUCUCUUGAAAACUUCAAAACCAUUUUUUUCCCUUUCAAAUGGAAGAUUCUCUUGACCAGAGCUUCAAGUAUUGGGUAUUGGAUAAAAUAACAACCAUGGGGAAAUCUCAGUUAAAGACCUCUGACUCUUUAAUCUCGGUAACUUUUAAAAAGUGUAUGCACUCAACUCUACUGACAAAUGAGUUAUUCCCAGUUUUAUGUUGCCAGCUACCACAAGCAUAGGGUAGCAGUAUUAGCUGUUGUAUCUAAACUUAUGUGCUCAAUUACUUAACGUGCUCUGUAUAAUCAUAGGAGAUUGUUAACUGAUUCAACAGACUUCAUAAAAAGUUCCGCUGCUGGAGAGUUGCUAGAUAGAAUUUCAAAUUAAAUACAACUAUUAGCACAUAUUCAAAAUGCACAGUUAGGAUCAAAAUGCAACAGAUUUACUAAAACUGAACUAAUAUAAACUCAACCCAUAUUCCGAUUAUUGUAGGAUAAAUUUGAGAGUGUUGACAUGAAUGAUCAUCGUGAUCAUAUCUUCGGAUGGAUGAAAGAGUUAUGGAACAAAUGGAGAGGACACUUGUAUACAAAACAUGUGAAGGAUAAGCCAAUCCAACAGGCUCUUAAGAAUAUUCCAAAGGGAGUAGACAAUGGGAGUGGUUAAUAAAGGAAUUUCCCUCCCUAGCAUCAGAUAUUUUUCUACUAUAUCUGGAACCUGAGUAUAUUGUUUAAGUUUAUUAAAUUUAUUACAUUUAAGCUUAAUGUUACACAAAUAUAGGCGAGAAGCAACGGGAAUGCGGCAAAUCGAGCUAAGUUGAAGAUGCUUCAUCAUAUUGGUAGCAAGCCUAUUCGAGAGAUUAUUUAUCAAAAGGGCGGAAAAGAUGGCAAUCCACCAGAUUUGGCAACAAUUUUCUUCGACCCGUAAGAAAGAUAACAAGCUUGUUGAACCUGAAGCAAUUGAAAAACAUGCUCAAAUCGAAGAAAUAAUUCAAUCAGAUCCAUCUCUACCUAGCAUAGAGAUUGUAGAAAAAUGUUGUGGACCUCAAACUCGUAGCCACGUGUUUGGCUUUGGGGGUGGAGUAAAGGCGAAAGACUUGAAAGGUGAAACUUCUUCAAAGGCUGAAUUACUGUCCGCGCUACGUUCAACUCGAGAAGAAAAUAAAUCUUUGAAUGAGGAAAACAAAUCCUUGCAGGAGCGCUUGUCUACCUUAGAAGAUGACAUGAAAGAAAUGAAGAAAAUGAAAGAGUUCUUCGCUGCUCAACAAUCACAUGUCCCGCUUACGACAUCGCCUGUUUCAACUGAAUGAAUACUGUUUUGUCUGCUGACCAAGUUAGUAAAAAUAUACCCAACUUUUUAAUUUAUAUAGUUGAUUUGCGUAUAGUCAAUUUCUAUAUUACAGAUUCUAACAGUUUACUUUUUAAAAAAUUUUUGCAAUUCAUCAGUAGUACCUGAGAAGGGCAAGAAGAAAUAGCCUACAGAAUAGUGAUUGAAGCUAGAUAUGGAUUGAAUGUACAAUGGUGCAGUAAGUAGUUUGACAAUCUAUAAGCUUAUAAGCUGCAGUAAACCAUUGCUAGAGACAAAGGAUAAAUAAUAGUCAAAAGCAAUAUAUGGAGAGUUAUCCCUUGCUGUAAAUUUAGACAAUUUGGAUGGAAAGGAACCAUAAAUAUUUUGAUAAGCCUCAUCUUUGUCUUCUGUAGUACUUAGAUGCUCGUGGAUCAUUUUUUUGUGGUGUAGUAGAAAUGUUGUAAAUAAUUUUGGUAAUAUGGUGAAAGUUAUUGGCCCCUUAGGCUUAUCUUACCUUUUUCAUAUAAAAAAAAGUUAUAGACCCCUUACAUAUUUUGAACAACUAACUUAGCAAGACUCUGUGCAUACUGUUUGCUUCACCUCCUAGACACAAUUACAUCAAUUAGUUGUUGCACUAACAUCAGUGAUACAUGCUUAGCUAAUCAGUUUACCAAACACAUACACCUACUCCACAAUUCAACUGAAGGCAUUUUUGACAUAAAAGGCAUAAGUGAAGAAUGAUUUUUUUUUUCAUGAAACUUCACUGCAUUAGCAAGCUGGUCUGCUAAAGUGAACGUUUUGUGAGACAGAUUAAAGAUAUUGAAUUUGGACAAAACUGACAUCAUGGAUUUUACUAUUCAUCUCUUUCCAUGGAAACAGAACUUGCAAAGUGUUUAGUCCACCUGUGUUCUUGUUAAGAGAUAUCUGGUGUUUCUAUCUGUAAUUUUUUUGUGAAGUCAUUACUAGAAACAUUAAUGUGCCAAUAAGAAAUAGGUCCUUGAAAAGAGUAUAGUUAUUGUCUCAAAAUCCAGGCAGAUCAAAGGUCAUUUAAAAGAACAAUUAUAGGUUGAUUCUGGACCAUCUUACAUUGAACAUGUAACAAAUUGACUAGUACCUCAAGGGCCUGACAUGAUCAUAUAUACAGAGACGGCAAACAGUGUUGUCCACGCACUUGUUUCCCGUCAGGUAAAGGAGCUGUUUAAUACCUUACAAGUGAUUUUUCGUCAAUAUCAAAAUUUGUCACUUGUUUCUUUCUGCGGUUUAUUUGACUUGAACGAGUCAGGAAGUGGUAAUAUUCAAAACAUGUGAGAAUUCUAAGUUAGAGAGCUUAAUCUGAAUUCUAUGAGAAACUUGCCUCAUCUUAUUUUGAAUUAUAUUGGUAGAACAUGAUUUUGAAUGUCCUCUUUAUUUGUUGUAUAUCAUGUUUGUUCCGUACGCAAGUGGUAAUGACCGUGCUCACUAGAAGUAGAUGAUAUGGUUCUCUUAUGAUUAAAGAUACCAAGUUCGUGAUGUCGUUGUCUGUUCAUAAUAGUUGUUCUCUUAAAUGGUAAAUCUCGAAUUGUUGUACCGGAAUUUAUCAAACCAAAGUUUGAUUUACCAUCCCAAAGCUUUUCUAAUUAAUUUGUAUAUUUUCCUAUAGCCUUGUUGAUGUUGCUCUAUAACACCUAGUGAAUUUAGACUGCUUUUGGGGUAAGCGGUUAACUAUUGCUAGUUUAAAUUUACAUAUGUCAUUUUACCAAUAGUUAUUUAUCAUCUUUUCAAACUUUUGUACUUACAGGUUUUGAAGACUGAAGUUACAAGUCAAGAUGCAAGUUUAGAAGAUGCACAAGCUCAUUUAUUAUUUUGGUAGGACUGUUAUUCAAAACUUGAUAUCAUAAUGUAGCUGAAGAUAUUAGCUAAGUUUUUUUGUUAAGGUGUCGAGCAAAUAUAGAAACUAACAUCAU